ACUUCUGGGUACCUUUGGAUGGUCCAUGGAUCCUUUCUCAGAAUAACAUUUUUAAAGAAUUGAAGGAAAUGCUAAAUUUUGAUCUACAAUCAAGGAAGAAUGUCUUUCCUCAACAAAUAAUCAGCUUUGGGAAGAGAAAAGCAUCCAAAGAUUGAAAAUGCUCAAAUAGAUCUGUACUGUCAGUUCUGCAGUUAUUCCUUAUGAUUCACCCAAAAUUCCUUUUUCUCUUGGUAUGAAGAAGAGCAGUGGAACAACUUUUCACCAUUUAUAAUCUCACUUUUCAUUAUCUGCUUAACCCAAU